UUUUAUCUAGUUAUUAUAUCAAAAGAUAAAAGAAAAGUUGUUGGAAUUAAAAGUGAUGGCCAACUAUUCAAAAUAACGAGAUAUAGGAAAUGGAAGGGUAGUGAAAUGGCAGAGAUAGAAGAGGGUGGUGAGGAAAUGCAGAGGAAUCGCAGAACGAACUAAGAAAGACAACAACACAGAUCUGUUGGUAAUGUUGGAGAACGCAACAUAAACCCCCCAAAAAGACAGAAAUUUGACAGAGAGAAUUAGUGGUAAAACAAUAGCCACAGCCCAACGUAAAACAAUAGCCACAGCCCAGGCCCAGCCCAAAUGCAAUGAGACCGAACCUGUAAAGCUAACCAACCUGAAUGCCGUCCUCUCAUCCACAUUUACAUGCGAUUAUGUUUGUCUCACUCUCCACCAUGCUGUCUUCUCGUUUGUUUCCCUUGCUUUCAGGAAUGGAAAAGUUUCAGAGUAUAAAUUCUUGGAAUGAGAAAGUUUCAGGUUAUUGUUGAUGAGCUCAAUUGUUCUCUGCAAACUUACUUGAAUGUGCGGGUUUUAUCAAUCUGUGUUACAAGUGUACAGCCAUAAACACUUUGAAUCCUAACACACCAACUAAAAUGUUGUCUAAAAGAAAGCCCCUUUACAGAUUCCCGUUCAUUCCUGUGUCUGUCCUUGUCAUAUGCCUCUCCUUCUUGUUGUUGUUCUAUUACUAUGCGAAACCUAGUUCUCAGAUCUCUAGAUUGUCCAAUAUUUCAACAUCUCAUACCCCUCAAUGCUCCAGCCAAGCCCUUACCUUAGGGGAGAAAUUCACGUGGUAUGCACCUCACAGUGGGUUCGGCAACCAACUUUCAGAGUUCAAGAAUGCUAUUCUAAUGGCUGGUAUACUGAAUCGAACUUUGGUGGUUCCUCCUGUUAUGGAUCACCAUGCUAUUGCUUUAGGUAGCUGUCCAAAGUUUCGGGUUGUAGAUCCAAAGGAUAUUCGGAUAUCUGUUUGGGAUCAUGUGAUUGAGCUUGUCCAAAGUCGAAGGUAUAUAUCCAUUGCUGAAAUUGUUGACAUCACAUCAUUAGUUUCUUCCUCUCUUGUUCGAGUGAUUGAUCUUAGGGAUUUUGUGUCCAUAUGGUGUGGCAUCAGCUUAGAUUUGGCUUGCGUAACAGAUACAAAGUUGCAUUCCUCUGUUUCUAAAAGCCUUAACCAAUGUGGAUCUCUGCUAGCUGGGCUCCAUGGUAGUAUUGAAAAGUGUAUAUAUGCUGUCAAUGAGGAUUGCAGAACUACAGUAUGGACUUACAAUGAAGAUGGGCUUGGAGACGGUAUGUUAGAUUCAUUUCAACCCGAUGAAAAACUGAAGCAGAAAAAGAAAAUAUCAUAUGUUAGAAGACGGAGGGAUGUAUUUAAGACUCUAGGACCUGAUUCUGAAGCUGAAUCAGCCUCACUGCUGGCAUUUGGAACCCUUUUCUCUGCCACAUACAAAGGUUCUGAACUAUAUGUGGAUAUCCGUGAGUCUAAUCAGAAUCAGAGAUUUCUAUCUCUGAAGGAGAAGACUAAACUUCUUUCCUUUGUCCCAGAAAUUUUGAUAGCUGGAAAGGAGUUUUCUAAACAAAGCAUAAGGGCUCCAUUUCUUUGCGCACAACUUAGAUUGUUGGAUGGGCAGUUUAAGAAUCAUCAAAAGGCUACAUUUCAAGGAUUAAGGCAAAAACUAGAAUCUUUAAGGAAGGAAGGCCCUCUACCAAUUCAUAUUUUUAUAAUGACUGAUCUUCCUGGAGAUAAUUGGACUAAUACUUAUUUAGGUGAUUUAGUUAGUGAGAAUCACAAGUAUAAGCUAUACUUUUUGAAAGCGAAUGAUAAGCUGAUUAAGCGAGCAGCUAUAAAACUCAUGACAGCUGGUCAUGGGCAGAGGUUCCUAUCAAAUUCAUAUAGUACAAUUGGUAAAAAAUAUUGUUCCAGUCAGAGAUUGCCAGAUUUACUUCUUUAUGUUGAGCAGACUGUAUGCAGCUGCGCAUCUCUAGGUUUUGUUGGAACACCUGGGUCCACAAUUGCAGAAAACAUAGAACUCAUGAGAAAAUUUAGCUCAAGUUCUCAGAGAUGUUGAUGGUUUUGUGGAAAAGCAGUUAAUGCUGAUAGGGGUUUUAGGAUUGAUGGGGUGGGAGUUCAAUCAUGUUUGUAGUAGAAGAUGGUUGAAUACGCCAUGUUCUGAGAUAUCCUUUCCUCAAAUUUUGAUGAUUCGUCAGCUUUGCGAGGCAACAGUCAUUUUUAGGAGAUUGACACUCUACAGUCAAGAGCAUUGUUGUUAUUUUAGUGUACUAAAUUGUCGUUGUUUGGAUCAUAACAUGUUCUUUUGCCUCCCCAACUAGCCCACCCACUUUUCCCCCUUCUGUCUUGAGUUGGAGUGGAGCUGGUGUCACCUUGUUUAUGACUCUACAAUGGCUCCAAUGCCUGAGACACUACACGUUAAGCUGCAGUGAGCUUGAGGCGUGCUGAUUUACAAAAGUAUGAAUGUGUAGUUCCUUCUGAAUUAUAAAAUACUGACUGAGGAUUUGUUUGGA